GCAGAAGAAAACCAUCAUCUCCAAACUUGGUGAAUAUCUCAUAAUGAUGCCGGUCCAUGUUUCCUGGAGAGUGAAUGAGUGAAAAGGGGAUUAUACUGUAACUUCCUGCACUCAAACUCUGAGGAGCAAACAUUAACAUGUCUUAUACAUGGAGGUUUCCACGUCUCAUCCUACAGAAAGACAUCUGGCAUCAGGUUUCAUUGAAUCACCCCAAAAGAGACUGACUACAGUGGCCUUCACCUGAACUAGUCAGGAAACUGUUGUGUAUCCUUUCUCCACGAUCACAGCUUUAUUUCCAAUAUCUAUGUUCCGGUCUGAAGUAUUCAACUCUUUACAGACACAAUUUCUGGAGGGGAGGAUGUGAUGCAAGUUAACUGGAAGGGGAGUGUGUGAUAUCAGAAAAACACCACUGGUCGCAGGUCUUUGGCAACACGGCAAUGCCACAACUAUUAUCCCGGAACGGCUCAGAGGAUGUCCUAAUACACAGGACUUACCGGUCUAAGUGGAAGGCAGCGAUCUCAGCAUUGUGUCUCUGGUAGUCCACAAAAUAGAAGACGUCUUCUUGGGUU